rnacentral:rRNA from 1 species
GACGAACCGUCCAAACGUUAUUCGGAAUCACUGGGCUUACAGAGUUCGUAGGCGGUCUGGAAAGUUGGGUGUGAAAUCCCUCGGCUCAACCGAGGAACUGCGCUUGAAACUACCAGACUCGAGGGAGAUAGAGGAAAGCGGAACUGAUGGUGGAGCGGUGAAAUGCGUUGAUAUCAUCAGGAACACCGGUGGCGAAGGCGGCUUUCUGGGUCUU